AGCGAACGCUGGCGGCAGGCCUAACACAUGCAAGUCGAGCGAAGCCUUCGGGCUUAGCGGCGGACGGGUGAGUAACGCGUGGGAACGUGCCCUUUGGUACGGAAUAGCCCCGGGAAACUGGGAGUAAUACCGUAUGUGGUCGAGAGACGAAAGAUUUAUCGCCAAAGGAUCGGCCCGCGUUGGAUUAGGUAGUUGGUGGGGUAAUGGCCUACCAAGCCGACGAUCCAUAGCUGGUUUGAGAGGAUGAUCAGCCACACUGGGACUGAGACACGGCCCAGACUCCUACGGGAGGCAGCAGUGGGGAAUCUUAGACAAUGGGGGAAACCCUGAUCUAGCCAUGCCGCGUGAUCGAUGAAGGCCUUAGGGUUGUAAAGAUCUUUCAGUGGGGAAGAUAAUGACUGUACCCACAGAAGAAGCCCCGGCUAACUCCGUGCCAGCAGCCGCCGUAAGAC
rnacentral:rRNA from 1 species